UCGGGAAUUUUGGGCAAUGGGCGAAAGCCUGACCCAGCAACGCCGCGUGAGGGAUGAAGUAUUUCGGUAUGUAAACCUCGAAAGAAUGGGAAGAAUAAAUGACGGUACCAUUUAUAAGCUCCGGCUAACUACGUGCCAGCAGCCGCGGUAAUACGUAGGGAGCAAGCGUUGUUCGGAUUUACUGGGCGUAAAGGGCGCGUAGGCGGCGCGGUAAGUCACUUGUGAAAUCUCUGAGCUUAACUCAGAACGGCCAAGUGAUACUGCUGUGCUAGAGUGCGGAAGAGGCAACCGGAAUUCUUGGGGUAGCGGUGAAAUGCGUAGAUACCAAGAGGAACACCUGAGGCGAAGGCGGGUUGCUGGGCCGACACUGACGCUGAUGCGCGAAAGCCAGGGGAGCAAACG
rnacentral:rRNA from 1 species